CUUAUGUACUCGUUCCAGCAUUAUGUGUCUACAUUCGAUAGUGUGCGGUCGAGUUUGCUCGUGAAUCGAAGAAAAACAUCGUAAAACGGUUAAUAACUUAGUGUAGUGUGUUUUUGUUUGAACGAUUGCAGAAGCAAUCUGCUCAUUGCUUAAUGUGGCAAAAUGUGGAAUUAUUAUACAAAGCUAAUCAGUGCCGAUCGCGUAUUUUGAUCAUCAAAUUGAUUUGAGUGAAAUAUUAUGAAUUAAAAUGUUGCCACUUUACAGUUGUUUUACAGUGCAAUUGUGUAAAUAUCGUAAGAUUGUCGAUUUUAAAGUGCAAAUGUUCAACGAAAUGAAAUAUUAGUCUAAAAAAAAAAAUGGAAUAAAGUGAAAGCUUGUGCUGUGAAUUUUGAUGAAACAUUUCAAGUAUACAACUAAAGUCGUUAGUGUUUCCGGCCACUAAACCUUGAGAUCCUCAGGAAUGAAAAUGAGUCAGCUGGGAACAGUUUAUGCCACCAAAAGGAGGCGUCGCAAUGGCAAAAGUAUCAAGACUACACCAAAAGAGGGCAUCACGAAAAGCAAUCCUUCCAAAAGACACCGGGAGCGGCUAAACGCAGAGCUAGAUCUUUUGGCUUCGUUACUUCCAUUUGAGCAAAACAUAUUGAGUAAGCUGGACAGAUUAAGCAUUCUUCGGCUGUCGGUGAGCUAUUUGAGGAUUAAAAGCUAUUUUCAAGUGGUGAUGCACAAAGAAAAGGGUGAAAAUGGAUUGAUGCCACACUCCGUUUCAGAGGAAAGCUAUCGGGCCCGAGAUUUUACUUCCUAUGAUCAUAGCUUUAUAGUGGACAGCGACAUGUUUUUGCAGGCACUUAAUGGUUUCAUUAUGAUUCUCACCUGUGAGGGAGAAGUAUUCUUUGCAACUCACACCAUAGAAAGCUACCUAGGAUUUCAUCAGUCCGAUAUCAUCCAUCAAUCCGUAUACGAGCUGGUACAUUCUGAAGACCGUGAAGAGCUGCAGAAACAACUGUUGUGGAACUCCUUCCUGCCGGCUGAUCUAUCCGGUAUUCAGCUGUCCGAAGCUUUAGUGCCUGAAAAGGAUAAGCUUUUAGAGCGAAGCUUUACCGUUCGAUUUCGCUGUUUGUUAGACAAUACUUCCGGCUUUCUGCGCUUGGAUAUACGUGGCCGGGUGAAGAUACUACAUGGACAAAAUAAAAAGAAUGAAGAGCCUCCACUUGCUCUGUUUGCAUUUUGUACACCAUUUGGGCCUCCCAGCUUAUUAGAGAUUCCACCGAAAGAGAAUAUGUUUAAGUCCAAGCAUAAGCUAGACUUUUCGCUUGUUUCUAUGGAUCACAAAGGGAAAAAUACUCUGGGAUAUUCCGAUUCCGAGCUGGCAAACAUGGGAGGAUACGAUUUGGUGCACUACGAUGACUUAGCUUACGUGGCAAGCGCUCAUCAGGAACUUCUAAAAACGGGAGCCUCGGGAAUGAUCGCCUAUCGGUAUCAGAAGAAGGAUGGUGCAUGGCAAUGGCUGCAAACAAGCUCUAGGCUGGUGUAUAAAAAUUCCAAGCCUGAUUUUGUCAUCUGUACCCAUCGUCAGCUGAUGGAGGAAGAAGGGCGGGAUUUACUCGGCAAACGCACGAUGGAUUUUAAAGUUAGCUAUUUGGAUGCUGGCAUCUCUUCGACCUAUUUCGAGUCGGAACAGUUGAGUAUAGUAAGCUCAAAUAAUAGCAGCGCGCCCAGUUCGCCGACCACAUCUCAGCAACGUGCCAAUCGGCGUUAUAAAACACAGCUGCGCGAUUUUCUCUCCACCUGUCGCCACAAGCGCAAGCUACCGAACCAAUGUGCUGCCGAACAGGUUUCGCCUAGUGUGUCCGUAGUGGAUUACAUUCCUGGUGGACCGCCAGGUACGGCGGCCGCGGCAGCCGCUGUGGCUGCAGCUGCCUAUUCCAACAGCAUUAAUAGUGUGUAUUCGCCUGCAGCACACUUUCCCGGUACUGCGCCAGACAACGUGUAUAUGACCGGGCCGGUUCACUCGUCGAAUUUUUACCCGAUGCCCGAUAAUCUUUUCCACCAGUAUCGGCUGCAAGGUGUAAGUGGCUACUAUCCCGAGUAUCAUACCAGCACUAGUGCAUCCACCUUUGUUCCUACUAACGGGCUUAUUCCGUACGACAGUUAUGGAAUCACUAAAGAGGACACCAUGCGAUGGCAUGAGGGGACAAAGAGCUACGGUCCACCCGGCGAGUCAGGCCAAUCGCACCCGGCCAGUGCCGAAUCGUCGCAACAACCGGAUGCACCUAGUGGAUGUGCCACAAGCGAAGCACCAUAUCUGGUUAGUGGCUUUGCUGCAGCUGCAGUCAGUACCGAUCCUCGAUCCCCUCAUGUUCCCAAAGGCUCGUGCCACCAGACUGUUAAAAGUGUUUCCCCACACUCAUCCGAGGAGCUGGUCGAUCCUUGCUGUACGGUAGAUGGUAACGCCACACCGACCAAAGAUUCAAUCGAUCGUCACGCACACCAUGGCAGCCAGGCGCAUCAUGGGCCGCACAGCACACAACACCACCAUCCCGGUACCCAUCAUCAAGCCUCCCACCAUAAUGCUCACCACCACCAUCACCAACAUCACCAAGCUGUGCAACAUCAUCAGGAUAUUCAGCAGCUGCAUCCGCACACGCAUCCUCAUUCGCAUCCCACUCAUCGCCAUCGGAACGGUGAUGGGACGGAGGAACACAAAUUGGGCGGCGUAAAAUCACCGGCCGCUUCCUCGUCGCCUAUCCGCCACAACGAGCCGCAGCGCCAGACCGUUCUGAUGUGGGGUACGUCUUACAAUAAUAAUUCCAUCAGUGGCAACGAUGAUCCUCACGUUGCCAGUGGCAAUGGAUCGCCGUCCUACGAUUAUAUUGACUCUGCGGGUAACUUUAAUAUGGUCAACCUGUCAAAAUCCGGCUCCAUCGGUGCCUCUAUAAGUAGUAGUGAAUUGAAUAAUACUAGUAGUUCUAUCAAUGCGAGCUCCGCUACAUCCACUAACGCUAAUCCCAACCAAACACAUUCGGUUCCUUGCGAGCCACCGCCACAAUCGUCUGGUGAACCGAUCCUGGAGCCAGCAAUCGACAACGUUUCGCGCACGAUCGCAAAACCUAUCACAUCGCACGUUGCGCUUAAUAAAUCGAAGCAACUGCAACCCUCCGAUUCCAGCGGUGGUAACAACAACACUUACAGUGGCAAACACCAGCCAAAAGCCUAUGCUAACCAUUCUGCUAACCAACCUCCAACAACACCACACUCAGUACCGCCUCAGCAACAGCCUGAGCCGCUGGUCGAUGGAACGACUGUCGUUCCAAUGGACCCAACCAAUAACAACAACAUGACUACUUCUUCCGUCGAUACUAAAUGGUACUGCACCGAUGAUGCAUAACACACUCACAGAUAUGCUGUAGUUCGUAGUACUAAUCGUAUCGUUUUGCCACUAAUAAUGCAUGCAGCCCAUCCAACUAACCAUACUGGCGUUGCUUCCUCGAGAUGCGUUUAGUUUAGAUCUAGAAAGGCAAACACUGAGCACUAUGAGCUCCAAAAUGAAAUCCUAUCCCAAAAUAAAACAGUCAACUCAGUUGCAGCGAUGGAGAAACAUGCUAACCCUAAUAAGCUUUUAAAGGUGAUGCUCGACACAAGCGAUACACUGAACGGACUGAAUUAUUCGAUGUUACCAAACGCGAUCGACCAAAAUUGCAUUGCUGAUCUUCGCCGCGAUACAGCUUGGAGCACUGG